UCAGAACUCUUGUAUUGGAAAGCUCGAAGGCUCUGGACUGUCAACUCUUUCAACAAGAUGUGGGCAAGAUGAUCUCCAGGAUUGGCUGCAGCUAGAGCCUCCUGCUGUCACUGCUGUAUCGUGUUCCACUGGACGCCAAGUCCAUUCUUGUCCACUGCACACUAGAUGGAACUCGUGCGGAUGGCUUCGUAGUGCUGUGCUUAACCCCUGCGCCAUCCUGGAGGGCCCAAACCUUGCUUUUAUAUCAGCUUCAGAUAUUUUAGGGUCUGGCUGCGGUGGACACUGUCGGUGAAAGGCUGGGAGUCCCGGAGCCUGUAACAGACCCGCCUGUCCUCCUGCCCCAGCCCGCCUGCCCCAGCCCACUGUGACCUGCUCAUUAGCUGGAAUUAUGUUGGCACAAGGCCUGGGGGUGGACUACAAGCUUCAGGGAAUGUCUGAUGGACUUUCUCUGGCCAGGAGCCUGACUUGUGCGCCCCAGAUGACCAGGUGAGCUCUUGGAAGUCUCCUGCUUCUCUACCCCCUGCUUGC